rnacentral:tRNA from 1 species
GCCCGUUUAGCUUAGGGGUAGAGCGUUGCACUUGUAUAAUGCAAAGGUCACUGGUUCGAUUCCAGUAUCGGGCA